rnacentral:rRNA from 1 species
CCUACGGGUGGCAGCAGUGAGGAAUAUUGGUCAAUGGCCGAGAGGCUGAACCAGCCAAGUCGCGUGAGGGAAGACGGCCCUACGGGUUGUAAACCUCUUUUGUCGGGGAGCAAAGAGAGUCACGUGUGACUCAUUGAGAGUACCCGAAGAAAAAGCAUCGGCUAACGCCGUGCCAGCAGCCGCGGUAAUACGGAGGAUGCGAGCGUUAUCCGGAUUUAUUGGGUUAAAGGGGUGCGCAGGCGGAGGUGCAAGUCAGCGGUAAAAUUGCGGGGCUCAACCCCGUACUGCCGUUGAAACUGCAUCCCUUGAGUGCGCGAGAGGUAUGCGGAAUGCGUGGUGUAGCGGUGAAAUGCAUAGAUAUCACGCAGAACUCCGAUUGCGAAGGCAGCAUACCGGCGCGCAACUGACGCUGAUGCACGAAAGCGUGGGUAUCGAACAGGAUUAGAUACCCUAGUAGUC